GACGAACGCUGGCGGCGUGCCUAAUACAUGCAAGUCGAACGCCGUGGGGCCGGGUGAGUAACACGUGGGUAACCUCCCAUCAGAGGGGAUAACACUUGGAAACAGGUGCUAAACCGAUACUGAUGGAUGGACCCGCGGUGCGUUAGCUAGUUGGUGAGGUAACGGCUCACCAAGGCCACGAUGCAUAGGCGCACUGAGGGGGUGCGCGGCCACACGGGGACUGCGACACGGACCAGCCGUCUACGGGAGGCAGGAUGAGGGAUUCUUCGGCAAUGGACGAAAGUCUGACCGAGCAACGCCGCUGGAGUGAGGAAGGUUUUCGGAUCGUAAAACUCUGUUGUUAGAGAAGCUGUAUCUAACCAGAAAGCCACGGCUAACUCCGUGCCAGCAGCCGCGGUAAUU
rnacentral:rRNA from 1 species